UACGGAGGGUGCAAGCGUUAAUCGGAAUUACUGGGCGUAAAGCGCACGUAGGUGGUUUACUAAGCCAGCUGUGAAAUCCCCGGGCUCAACCUGGGCACUGCAGUUGGAACUGGUAAGCUAGAGUAGGGUAGAGGGGUGUGGAAUUCCAGGUGUAGUGGUGAAAUGCGUAGAGAUCGGGAGGAACACCCGUGGCGAAGGCGGCCAACUGGGCCGACCCUGACGCUGAGGCGCGAAGGCGUGGGGAGUGAACGGG
rnacentral:rRNA from 1 species